GAUGAACGCUGGCGGCGUGCCUAAUACAUGCAAGUCGAGCGAACGGACGAGAAGCUUGCUUCUCUGAUGUUAGCGGCGGACGGGUGAGUAACACGUGGAUAACCUACCUAUAAGACUGGGAUAACUUCGGGAAACCGGAGCUAAUACCGGAUGAUAUAUUGAACCGCAUGGUUCAAUAGUGAAAGACGGUCUUGCUGUCACUUAUAGAUGGAUCCGCGCUGCAUUAGCUAGUUGGUAAUGUAACGGCUUACCAAGGCAACGAUGCAUAGCCGACCUGAGAGGGUGAUCGGCCACACUGGAACUGAGACACGGUCCAGACUCCUACGGGAGGCAGCAGUAGGGAAUCUUCCGCAAUGGGCGAAAGCCUGACGGAGCAACGCCGCGUGAGUGAUGAAGGUCUUCGGAUCGUAAAACUCUGUUAUUAGGGAAGAACAUAUGUGUAAGUAACUGUGCACAUCUUGACGGUACCUAAUCAGAAAGCCACGGCUAACUACGUG
rnacentral:rRNA from 1 species